AAUAACUCGAUUUAUUCACACUCUGUGCAAGCAGCAGGUUAGGGAGGGCAAUGCCCAGUAACUAGGAAAUGGGUCCACGGUUGUGGAUUUUACCAAGAGCUCCAACCCCCUACUCCCCACAACUAUUAUUGGAGUAGAGUUUUUUUUUAAUAGUGGGGAGUUAAUGGGCGAAGGGGUGGCCGACCACCCAGAGCGCCAGUGUCUAUGAGGCAUUUCCACGCCUCGGCCCAGUGCAGGUGGACCAGCAUUGUUGUGUGUGUCAUCACCUCGUUCAGAUUCCCAAGAGAAGAUUCCGCAGUUCCAGCUCCGAAGCGUGGAUUUUAUUUCCCUGCUCUUUCUCUCUCUCUCCAUCUCUCUCUCUCUCUACACCCUUCCCCCCCCCCCCCCCCACCUCAAAUGUCUCUUUUAAAAAGGAAGCAGAGCUGGCAGAGGAAAUUCUGCUAUUCGAGAUAUUUGUCAUCAUAAUAAGUAACAUCAUCAGUGAGAGUCUCCGGUGAAGUGCUGGUGGUAUGUCCCGCCUCUACUUACAGAUCUUGGUUUCUUCAGUAUGGUGCCAUUCCAGAUGACUUCUUUAGCAUAAGCUAAACAGCUGUGAACAGACGUAUCAGGCAAUUUAAGGAUUCAUUGUUCUUUCAAGCCAGCAUUUCAUCAGCUUUCCCAUGGGGGACUGGUGCCUGUGUGCCAGAACACUGCAAUUUUACUCAAUAACAGGAUUUCCCAAAGUCUAUGGAGUCACAAAUUGAAUACAUAUGGUCAAAAAUGUUCCCACAUCAUUGGCCCUUACAUUUGUCAACAGGAAUGGAGAAAAGAAUGUGCUGCAUUACUGCAACUAAAGAUACACUACCAUGCAAAGAAUUGCUUAUUUCUUGGCAAUGCCUUCAUCUCAAUGCAUCGUGUCAUUAAUCUUUAAGACAGAAAAUCAAGUCUCUCUUUGGCUGCUUUGAGAUUAGGGUUAUUCUCUACAGCUGUGGAAGAUAACAUCUGUAUGUCAUCUCAAAGCUGAAGCUACACUGUGCUCCUGAGUAACUGUGACUCACUCAAUAGACCAGAAAUGGGUGGAUGUCUCCAUCAGUUACCCAUCUGACUCACUCAGUAUCAUGAAGUAUUCUGUUGCCAGGUGAAUUUACAACUCAUGUAUGUGGAUUGAUCUGGUGAUCCUUCAAAAAUAUUUAGGAUUAUGGUGAUUUGCCAAAUGAUGAGCAAUUUGAUCUGACAAAGAGACUCCUACACAUGAAGAGUACAUAAGCCCACACGGAUGGUAAUGUGAGAAAAGCCCUUUAGUGGAAUGAAGAUAUCCCUCAGACUCCUGGUCAACACUUCUUCUUCACAUUCCAUCAAAUGCUACAGUUCACCCAUGAUUUAUUUAUCACCAGAUGCAUAACUCACUAUUUUCCAGAUCGUGCUUCAGUUAGUGCAAGGAUGGAUAAUUCUAUGGUGGUGCUUAAAAAAUAGUAGGAUCUCUCCAUUUCCAUCAGAAGUGAAAGAGUAAAGAGUUGCAGAGAUGAAGAUAAGUGGCUGUGACAUUGAAAGAGAAAACCAAGUGGCAUCUCUCCUUUAUCCAUCUCCCCGCAAACCCAAUUGCAUCCACCUUCAUUAACACUGUUGCCUUAACACUGGCAAUCAUGUUAGGUGCUCACUACAUAUGUUUAUGAUAAUGUAUGUUCAUGAUAACAAUAUCAUUAAUCAAACAAAUUUUUAAAGGAUAA